rnacentral:rRNA from 1 species
CCUACGGGGUGCAGCAGUGGGGAAUAUUGGACAAUGGGCGAAAGCCUGAUCCAGCCAUGCCGCGUGUGUGAAGAAGGCCUUCGGGUUGUAAAGCACUAUCAGUGGGGAAGAAAGCCUUGGGGCUAAUACCCUCGAGGAAGGACAUCACCCACAGAAGAAGCACCGGCUAACUCCGUGCCAGCAGCCGCGGUAAUACGGAGGGUGCGAGCGUUAAUCGGAAUUACUGGGCGUAAAGCGCGCGUAGGCGGUCUGAUAAGCCGGUUGUGAAAGCCCCGGGCUCAACCUGGGAACGGCAUCCGGAACUGUCAGGCUAGAGUGCAGGAGAGGAAGGUAGAAUUCCCGGUGUAGCGGUGAAAUGCGUAGAGAUCGGGAGGAAUACCAGUGGCGAAGGCGGCCUUCUGGACUGACACUGACGCUGAGGUGCGAAAGCGUGGGUAGCAAACAGGAUUAGAUACCCGUGUAGUC